AUGAGAAUAGGUCCCGGUUCAAGCGGCCCGCCUUUCAUCAUCAUCUAUACCAGCUGCCAUGCACGAUCCCAUAUGAACGAUUUCAUCGCCCUAAGAAGCAGAACGCGAGUUACGAAGAAACCUUUGCGAUGGUGCUGUGCAGUUGGGUUCUCUAUGGAGGAACUUCGUUGUGGGGACCAAGGGGUCUUCUUAAGAAGAGCGGAUCCAAUACACAUAAGACUUUUUUUCAGGAAAUUCCUAAUGUAA
rnacentral:rRNA from 1 species